rnacentral:RNase_P_RNA from 5 species
AGGGUUGAUCGGAUGAUCGCUGUUUGUAGGGAUGAGAAUCCUUAACACAAAGAGAGGAAAGUCCGGGCUCCAUAGGGUAGUGAUGCUGGGUAACGCCCAGGAAGAAAUUUUCAGAAAUGAAAAUCUUCUUACGGAUAGUGCAACAGAAAGUAAACGUGGAAUAGCCUUUCGAGGGUCUAUUCCUCAUGGUGAAACGGUGAGGUAAGAGCUUACCAGUAAGAAGGGUGACCUUCUUAGCUAUGAAAACCCCAUCAGGAGCAAGACAGAAUAGGAAAACAGCUUGAGGUUACCCGUCUCAAUAACAUAUGUUUCUGUUUUCGGGUGUGUCGCAUGAGGGGAAGAGUAAUUUUCCUCCUAGAGAAAUGAUCGUCACUUCUUUAUAAAAAGAAGUACAAAACCCGGCUUAUAGAUUAACUCUGUGA